AUUGAACGCUGGCGGCAGGCCUAACACAUGCAAGUCGAGCGGCAGCGGGAAAGUAGCUUGCUACUUUUGCCGGCGAGCGGCGGACGGGUGAGUAAUGCCUGGGAAAUUGCCCAGUCGAGGGGGAUAACAGUUGGAAACGACUGCUAAUACCGCAUACGCCCUACGGGGGAAAGCAGGGGACCUCCAGGCCUUGCGCGAUUGGAUAUGCCCAGGUGGGAUUAGCUAGUUGGUGAGGUAAUGGCUAACCAAGGCGACGAUCCCUAGCUGGUCUGAGAGGAUGAUCAGCCACACUGGAACUGAGACACGGUCCAGACUCCUACGGGAGGCAGCAGUGGGGAAUAUUGCACAAUGGGGGAAACCCUGAUGCAGCCAUGCCGCGUGUGUGAAGAAGGCCUUCGGGUUGUAAAGCACUUUCAGCGAGGAGGAAAGGUUGAUGCCUAAUACGUAUCAACUGUGACGUUACUCGCAGAAGAAGCACCGGCUAACUCCGUGCCAGCCGCCGCCGUAA
rnacentral:rRNA from 1 species